ACGCGUGCUCACCGCUCCUCCACUCUCCCUCCCUCGUCUCCCCAAAGCCCACAGAACCCUACCGCCACCACCGCGCCGCCAUGGCCGCCGGCGGCCGGCCGUGGCGCGUGAUCCCGCGGCCCGUCCUCGAGACCGUCCUCCACAACCACGCGCUCCGCCCGCGAGUGCCGCAGCCGCUGAUCCUCCACGGGCCCCGCGGCGUCGGCAAGUCCACGCUCCUCCUCGACCGGCUCCUCCCCCGGUGGUCGGAGACACCCCACGCCGCCGCAUUCGUCGACUUCCUCCACCCCACGCUCGCCUCUCCCGCCGCGGUGCCGUGGUCCCUCCUCCCCGCCGACCUGGCACCGCCUACGCUGCCCGACCUCCGCCGCCGCCUCGAGUCGGCGCUCGAGGGCCUCGCCCGCGCUGCCGUCCUACGAGGUGCCGUGGGGUCCAAGGACGUGCUCGCCGCGCUCUCCCGCUUCCACGGCCUCAGCACCGUGCUCUCCCGCCUGGCCGGGGGCCCCGUCGCUCGCUCCUCAGCAACCUCUGUGCCGGCUCGCCGCUCUUCGGCCACAUCCGUGCCGGCACUCUGGUCGAGGGCCGUGCUCGCCGCGGUGCGCAGGGACGACGCCACGUUCCGCAUUGGUGAGGGUGAGGCGACCAACUGCUCUAUGGAGGAGAGGGCGUACAUGCAGGAGGCCAUGGCGGCCCUGCGGGUGGCCAAGGAGGUUCUCGGGAUGCAGGAGGGGUGGAGGAAGGAGGCAAUUAGGGAGAUGAAUAGAACCUGUCGGUUCUCGCGCUCAUUGGCCAAUUCGGCCACCGACUGGCCGUGCCUAUUGCUGGAUGUUCUGUCCGGUGUGGCAGAGGAGGAAUUCUUCCAGCCGAAGCUGGUGCUAAACAAUGUGGAUGUUCUGAGGAAGGCAACUUGCGAGGACGAGACGAUGGUGCCAGCAGCGAUGUACCAUGAUAGCUUUAUUUGGAGGGUGAUCGCGCUUGGUGCCAAUGAACAGUGCUUGCCGGUCAUUUUAUCGACUUCAGAUGGCUACUAUUCUUCUCAAGCAUUCGUUGAUUUCGGUUUCCCUAAUAUAUUUAUUUCUCGUGAGACAUUUGGUUGGACACCACAAGAAGCUAAGCUGCAUAUGGUUUCCGAAUUCUUCAGUGAACAGGAGUGGAAAGUUGUAGAUGAGGUUCUUGGGCCAAACCCGCGACAAUUAUCUGAGAUAUAUAUGCUGAAGCAAAAAGUGAAUAGCCCAGAGGUUUUUCAUGACAGGAAUAUUGAGGAAGUUAUUGAUACAUACCUGGCACACUUGCAAGUCUCUGUCGUGAAUCCAGCAAUGGAGGCAGCAUUACAAAUGUUGCAGAAGUUUGCCUCAGAUGUCCGUGAGGGCAAAAUACCAGAGAACAGAUUGUCUUUUGGUGCACCUUGGAGACAUCCACCUCGGGAUGACAAUCCUGACUUGUCCUAUAAGUGGGCAAAGAUUCAGCUAAUGGAUUUUGUCCAGUCCUUUGUAAACACCGAGUUUGGGGUGAACUACCUAGCAGACGACAGCUUGGAAAUAUUGGACGAUCCUGCUGCUGUUGCCAUGAUGGAGGUUGGUUUACUUUAUCAACAAAGAGAUCCAUCCUUUAUGCGACCAGUCACUCGUGGGAUUCAGCGUUGUCUUGCCAGAUGGCUUGCUCAACAGAGGUUACAGUUGACCAUUCAAGAAACAAUAGCAUUCUUUUGGCAACGCUUGAUACGGGGACGAAGCUACCGUCACUUGAUGAAAGAAGUUGGGUACAAGUAAAGAGUGAUUCCAUUGGACCGAGAGCCAUUGUUUCCAUCUUUUAUGUGAACUGACUGGUGAUUGUGAUGGAUUGACUCGCUGACGGGAAUUUCAUUAAGAAUGUUUCAAGCAUUUAUGAUUUUGUGUCCACUCAUAUUCCCACUGAGGUAGGGAACCUCGGCUACUGGUGCCAUUCUGGAUAGAGGUGGACGGCUGGUUUUACAUUUUCUGCUCCUAACAAAAAAGAAUAAACCAAGUAAUCGCCCAAAGUGGCAACAGAAGUUGACUGGAAGCACCCAUAGGCUCUACAUUCUCUUAGAAUGCUGCAUUUCUGCCUGUAUGGCUGUAUGGUUAUUUUUUGGGUCAUGAGCUGGAUGUGGCACAGAAUUCUUACAUCAUCCCUUUGGUAGUUCAUUGAGGUGACUAGAAUUUCGGGAAGAGUUAAUCCCAAGUGCUUCCCCAGUCAUUUUUGAUGUGACAGGAAUGUACAUGUGGACCACUAAAUUCCAGAUUAAUACAGUGAAGCCAAGCAGUGUGUACGCGCUCAUC